rnacentral:rRNA from 1 species
UACGAAGGACCCGAGCGUUAUCCGGAUUUAUUGGGUUUAAAGGGUGCGUAGGCGGAUUAAUAAGUCAGUGGUGAAAGCCUGAUGCUUAACAUCAGAAUUGCCAUUGAUACUGUUAGUCUUGAGUACGGUUGAGGUGGGCGGAAUGUGUCAUGUAGCGGUGAAAUGCUUAGAUAUGACACAGAACACCAAUUGCGAAGGCAGCUCGCUAAACCGUAACUGACGCUGAGGCACGAAAGCGUGGGGAGCAAACAGG